UACGGGGGGGGCAAGCGUUGUUCGGAAUUACUGGGCGUAAAGGGCUCGUAGGUGGCCAACUAAGUCAGACGUGAAAUCCCUCAGCUUAACUGGGGAACUGCGUGUGAUACUGGCGGGCUCGAAUUCGGGAGAGGGAUGUGGAAUUCCAGGUGUAGCGGUGAAAGUGACGUAGAUAUCUGGAGGAACACCGGUGGCGAAGGCGGCAUCCUGGACCGAGAUUGACGCUGAUGCGCGAAAGCUAGGGUAGCAAACGGG
rnacentral:rRNA from 1 species